GGUGACUCAGUGGUAGAGUGCUUGCCUUGCAUGCAUGAGGCCGUGGGUUCGAUUCCUCAGCACCA
rfam:Dipodomys ordii contig_37066, whole genome shotgun sequence.